rnacentral:misc_RNA from 1 species
AUACUUCACACUUUACCGGAGCGCGCACCUGACUCGAUCAGGAGCGACUAGUUCAAGUUGUUUUCCGGAGAUUCUAAACUUCUAACAUGGAUACACUAAGAAGGACUUUCCGGAGACGACAUCGAAAGGAUUACUCGGAAAUCAACCCGAUGCUGAAGUAUUUCUUGUUCUUUGAAAAUUUUCUUAUUUGGCUCGUUGGUCUUGCGAUGACUGCUAUAGGCGCCUAUGUCCUGUAUAUCAAGAAGAAGGUGGUAAAGGAUGCGUUCGAUUUCUUUCUGGACCCGUCCACACUGAUGACGACAGGGGGCGCUAUCGUCGUCUUCAUCACAUUCUUUGGAUGUAUGGGGGCCCUGAGGGAAAAUGUGUGUUUUCUUAAAACAUACAACUACAUUUUGGGCUUCAUUUUCUUCGGAGAGAUGGCGCUGAUCAUUCUCAUCUUUGUGUUUUAUUACGUUCCCGAGUCACGUGAUAAGCUUGGAAUUUUCCCGGAAAAAAGUUUGAGUGAGGCGAUAGGGAAAUAUGGCGUUGAGGAUGACGAUGAUAUGGUUAACUUGAUAGACAACAUUCAAAAAACGCUUCAGUGCUGCGGCAUGGACAACACCGAUGACGGAUACAGGGGCUGGGCUAAAAACAUCUACUACAACUGUUCAGAAUCAAACAACAGUCCAGAGGCAUGCUCCGUGCCCCACUCCUGCUGUAAGAUCAAGCCGGGAGAGGAAAUAAACAUUCUUUGUGGUAGAAAAGUCAUGCAGUAUGAUAAAAACGUAAGUAUAAUGAUCUUAAAAACUAAAUGAUUCAAUACCAUUAUUUACCAAUAAAAAAUUGACAACAUAUAUAUAGGCAUUGGUACCCAUUCAGAACAUUUAUUUACUGAUUGUAGGGUAUUAUUAUGGAUGGUCCGUACAUCAGUCGUAUUAACAAGGAGGGAUGUGUGAAGUCUCUUGGGACGUGGAUUCAGACCAAUGCUAUGGUUCUAGGGGGCAUUCUGCUGGGGAUACUCCUUCCACAGAUGUUUGUGAUGUGCAUGUCAAGAUCUCUGAGAGACCAAAUAAAGAUACAGAAAUCAAAAUGGAACCGACCGAAACGUUACCAUGACAACCGAGCUUUUGAGCGGUACUAAAUCUAAUUGCAAUGGAACCUUGACAAGAUACUUUCAUGACUAUUUAGAGAUUUUUUCAUCUCAGAAUUUUAAGUCAAUACAGUUAUCAUAAAAUUAAGUUUUGACUUAUAUAAUUACAAUAUUUGAUUUACAUUGGUUAUUAGCAAUAUACGAAGUGUUGUGAUGUUUGUUAUGAAGUUUUUAAUUUUUACAUUUUCUUUUAGAGAGAGAGAGAGAGAGAGAGAGAGAGAGAGAGAGAUGUGAUUCUUCAGAAUGUUUCUUUUUUAUAAAAAAAAUAAAUACUUGUU